AUGGCGUCGUCGCCGCUCGAGUUUGAGGAUCUGUCGCGGACAUGCCGGAGGGACCGUUUUUGCCAGAUUUGCGCCCGCGCCUUCUGCUCUCACUGCUGCGGCUAUCAUCACAGCGGGCCAUUCCACUCGGUCAUCCCUGUCGACGUGGACGCCGCCGGCCGGCCUGUCUUCUCCACGACCUUCGAGUUUGGGGACUCGGAGCAGUCGCUUCGCUUGCGCGACGCCGUCAUCGGCACCAUUGCCGCGGAGGACUAUGCCACGCCGCUCCUCAGGGACUCGUACUGCAUGGCAUGUAGGAGAAUCUUCUGCGCUGGCGCCUGCUCGCACCACCAUGACCUGUGUGGCCCUGACGCCGUUCUCCACAUCCGCCAGCACGGUGGCGCCUACUGCGUCCGGUGCACGGGCUCCGAACCAUGGUUCCCUCACAUGGAGAGCAUUCUGGGUGACCCGGUCGGUGAGGAUCGGGACGAGCACGGCCGCUACCAGCUGCUUCUGCCGGUGCUGAGGAGGGCGCCGGGCAAGUGCGUGCAGUGCGGCGCCCAGGUGCAGUGGGAUUCGAAGGAGCACUGUUCGGAGCCCUGUGCCGCCGCUCACCACCAGGUGGUCGCCCAGCGGAGGGAGCGCCGGGAGGCCAGGCGCGCAGCAAGGGAGCUCGCUAAGCUACAAAUCUAUUGA
rnacentral:rRNA from 1 species